GCUGGAGGUAUCGGAAGUGCGAAUGCUGACAUGAGUAGCGAUAAAGGGGGUGAAAGGCCCCCUCGCCGUAAGCCCAAGGUUUCCUACGCAACGUUCAUCGGCGUAGGGUGAGUCGGCCCCUAAGGCGAGGCAGAAAUGCGUAGCUGAUGGGAAGCAGGUUAAUAUUCCUGCACCAUUGUUAAAUGCGAUGGGGGGACGGAUCGCGGAAGGUUGUCCGGGUGUUGGAAGUCCCGGUCCUUGCAUUGGAGAAGGCGCUCAGGCAAAUCCGGGCGCGGAAUUCAAGGGUGCGAGGCCAUUCACUUCGGUGAAGAAGCAACUGGAAGUGGUUCCAAGAAAAGCCUCUAAGCUUCAGUUUAACAAGACCGUACCGCAAACCGACACAGGUGGGCGAGAUGAGUAUUCUAAGGCGCUUGAGAGAACUCGGGAGAAGGAACUCGGCAAAUUGGUACCGUAACUUCGGGAUAAGGUACGCCCCUGUAGCUUGACUGGCCUGCGCCAGAAGGGUGAAGGGGUUGCAAUAAACUGGUGGCUGCGACUGUUUAAUAAAAACACAGCACUCUGCAAACACGAAAGUGGACGUAUAGGGUGUGACGCCUGCCCGGUGCCGGAAGAUUAAAUGAUGGGGUGCAAGCUCUUGAUUGAAGUCCCGGUAAACGGCGGCCGUAACUAUAACGGUCCUAAGGUAGCGAAAUUCCUUGUCGGGUAAGUUCCGACCUGCACGAAUGGCGUAACGAUGGCCACACUGUCUCCUCCCGAGACUCAGCGAAGUUGAAGUGUUUGUGAUGAUGCAAUCUCCCCGCGGCUAGACGGAAAGACCCCAUGAACCUUUACUGUAGCUUUGCAUUGGACUUUGAACCGAUCUGUGUAGGAUAGGUGGGAGGCUAUGAAGCGUGGACGCCAGUCUGCGUGGAGCCGUCCUUGAAAUACCACCCUGGUUUGUUUGAGGUUCUAACCUUGGUCCGUGAUCCGGAUCGGGGACAGUGCAUGGUAGGCAGUUUGACUGGGGCGGUCUCCUCCCAAAGUGUAACGGAGGAGUACGAAGGUACGCUAGGUACGGUCGGAAAUCGUGCUGAUAGUGCAAUGGCAUAAGCGUGCUUAACUGCGAGACCGACAAGUCGAGCAGGUGCGAAAGCAGGUCAUAGUGAUCCGGUGGUUCUGUAUGGAAGGGCCAUCGCUCAACGGAUAAAAGGUACUCUGGGGAUAACAGGCUGAUACCGCCCAAGAGUUCAUAUCGACGGCGGUGUUUGGCACCUCGAUGUCGGCUCAUCUCAUCCUGGGGCUGUAGCCGGUCCCAAGGGUAUGGCUGUUCGCCAUUUAAAGAGGUACGUGAGCUGGGUUUAAAACGUCGUGAGACAGUUUGGUCCCUAUCUGCCGUGGGCGCUGGAUAUUUGAAGGGGGCUGCUCCUAGUACGAGAGGACCGGAGUGGACGAACCUCUGGUGUACCGGUUGUCACGCCAGUGGCAUCGCCGGGUAGCUAUGUUCGGAAGAGAUAACCGCUGAAAGCAUCUAAGCGGGAAACUCGCCUUAAGAUGAGAUAUCCCCGGGGCUUCGAGCCCCUUGAAGGGUCGUUCAAGACCAGGACGUUGAUAGGUCAGGUGUGGAAGCGCAGUAAUGCGUUAAGCUAACUGAUACUAAUUGCCCGUAAGGCUUGAUCCU
rnacentral:rRNA from 1 species